rnacentral:rRNA from 1 species
AUUGAACGCUGGCGGCAUGCCUUACACAUGCAAGUCGAACGGCAGCGCGGACUUCGGUCUGGUGGCGAGUGGCGAACGGGUGAGUAAUAUAUCGGAACAUACCCUAGAGUGGGGGAUAACGUAGCGAAAGUUACGCUAAUACCGCAUACGAUCUAAGGAUGAAAGCGGGGGAUCGCAAGACCUCGUGCUCAUGGAGUGGCCGAUAUCUGAUUAGCUAGUUGGUGAGGUAAAGGCUCACCAAGGCGACGAUCAGUAGCUGGUUUGAGAGAACGACCAGCCACACUGGAACUGAGACACGGUCCAGACUCCUACGGGAGGCAGCAGUGGGGAAUUUUGGACAAUGGGCGCAAGCCUGAUCCAGCAAUGCCGCGUGAGUGAAGAAGGCCUUCGGGUUGUAAAGCUCUUUUGUCAGGGAAGAAACGGUUGUGGCUAAUAUCCAUGGCUAAUGACGGUACCUGAAGAAUAAGCACCGGCUAACUACGUGCCAGCAGCCGCAGUAAUAC